rnacentral:rRNA from 1 species
UUAAAAAUCAAUCUAAGAGUACGGUGAAACCGCCCAGAGGUAAACGGGUGGAUCCGCAAAGUCGGCCCGCGGAAUUCAGCUCGGCGCGCGGCUCGGGGCUGGUGCGGUUCGGGAUCUUCGGACCCGUCCGUGCCGUCGCACCGGGCUCCGCCGUGUGCACUUUCCGCGGGCAGAGCGCCACGAUCGACUUCGGGACGGUCAGAAGCCCGGGGGGAAGGUAGGUGUGCGCUUCGGCGUGCACUGUUACAGCCCUCCGUGGUGGGCCGUUCUGGGGUCGAGGAACGACCGUCGCCUUUAGGCUGCUCUGUUUUCCGGGGGAGUUCGACUGGCAGGGACUGGGCAACCGUGUCUGCCGACCGCUCUCUUGGACUGAUGGGGACCGCCUGCAUUGGUCUGUGCAA